GAUGAAGAACGUAGCGAAAUGCGAUACGUAAUGUGAAUUGCAGAAUUCAGUGAAUCAUCGAGUCUUUGAACGCACAUUGCGCCCUCUGGUAUUCCGGAGGGCAUGCCUGUCCGAGCGUCAUUGCUGCCCUCAAGCACGGCUUGUGUGUUGGGCUCCGUCCCCCGAUCCCGGGGGACGGGCCCGAAAGGCAGCGGCGGCACCGCGUCCGGUCCUCGAGCGUAUGGGGCUUUGUCACCCGCUCUGUAGGCCCGGCCGGCGCUUGCCGAUCAACCAAAUUUUUAUCCAGGUUGACCUCGGAUCAGGUAGGGAUACCCGCUGAACUUAAGCAUAUAAUAAGCGGAGGA
rnacentral:misc_RNA from 1 species